rnacentral:rRNA from 1 species
UUCUUGGAGAGUUUGAUCCUGGCUCAGGACGAACGCUGGCGGCGUGCCUAAUACAUGCAAGUCGAGCGAAUCAAUAGGAGCUUGCUCCUAUUGAUUAGCGGCGGACGGGUGAGUAACACGUGGGCAACCUGCCUGUAAGACUGGGAUAACACCGGGAAACCGGUGCUAAUACCGGAUAAUCCUUUUCCU